ACGCUGGCGGCAGGCCUAACACAUGCAAGUCGAGCGGAUGAAGGGAGCUUGCUCCUGGAUUCAGCGGCGGACGGGUGAGUAAUGCCUAGGAAUCUGCCUGGUAGUGGGGGAUAACGUCCGGAAACGGGCGCUAAUACCGCAUACGUCCUGAGGGAGAAAGUGGGGGAUCUUCGGACCUCACGCUAUCAGAUGAGCCUAGGUCGGAUUAGCUAGUUGGUGGGGUAAAGGCCUACCAAGGCGACGAUCCGUAACUGGUCUGAGAGGAUGAUCAGUCACACUGGAACUGAGACACGGUCCAGACUCCUACGGGAGGCAGCAGUGGGGAAUAUUGGACAAUGGGCGAAAGCCUGAUCCAGCCAUGCCGCGUGUGUGAAGAAGGUCUUCGGAUUGUAAAGCACUUUAAGUUGGGAGGAAGGGCAGUAAGUUAAUACCUUGCUGUUUUGACGUUACCAACAGAAUAAGCACCGGCUAACUUCGUG
rnacentral:rRNA from 1 species